rnacentral:rRNA from 1 species
CAGAUGAGCCUGCGGUCCCCAUCAGCUAGUUGGUAGGGUAACGGCCUACCAAGGCAAUGACGGGUAGCUGGUCUGAGAGGAUGAUCAGCCACACUGGAACUGAAACACGGUCCAGACUCCUACGGGAGGCAGCAGUGGGGAAUCUUGCGCAAUGGACGAAAGUCUGACGCAGCCACGCCGCGUGAGUGAAGAAGGCCUUCGGGUUGUAAAGCUCUGUCGCCCGGGACGAACAUCAUUAUCGUUAACAGCGGUAGUGACUGACGGUACCGGGAGAGGAAGCACCGGCUAACUCUGUGCCAGCAGCCGCGGUAA